GGCGGCUGUAGCUCAGCGGUAGGGCAUCUGUUUUGCAUGCAGAAGGUCCCCGGUUCAAUCCCAAUGGCAUCCCCA